UGGGGAAUUUUGGACAAUGGGGGAAACCCUGAUCCAGCCAUCCCGCGUGUGCGAUGAAGGCCUUCGGGUUGUAAAGCACUUUUGGCAGGAAAGAAACGUCAUGGGUUAAUACCCCGUGAAACUGACGGUACCUGCAGAAUAAGCACCGGCUAACUACGUGCCAGCAGCCGCGGUAAUACGUAGGGUGCAAGCGUUAAUCGGAAUUACUGGGCGUAAAGCGUGCGCAGGCGGUUCGGAAAGAAAGAUGUGAAAUCCCAGAGCUCAACUUUGGAACUGCAUUUUUAACUACCGCGCUUGAGUGUGUCAGGGGGAGGUGGAAUUCCGCGUGUAGCAGUGAAAUGCGUAGAUAUGCGGAGGAACACCGAUGGCGAAGGCAGCCUCCUGGGAUAACACUGACGCUCAUGCACGAAAGCGUGGGGAGCAAACAGG
rnacentral:rRNA from 1 species